rnacentral:lncRNA from 1 species
GAGAAAACGAGCCAUGCAGAUAUCUGGGAGGAAAGCAUUCUAAGGCAUCAGGUGCAAACAUCCUAAGGCACCAACAAGCUUGGUUUUUCCAGGAGGAGCAGAAUGGAGUUACACGUGGCUCGAGCAGAGUAAGCAAGAGGGAGAGUGAAGGAAAUAGGAUCCAAGAAGCCACUGGGGUCAGGUCAUGUGGCAUUUGUAGGCCACGCAUGGAGUUUGGACUUUGUUUUAAGAUGGAAGUCAGUGGAGGGUUUUGAACAGGAGUGGCAGCUCUGAUUUGUGUUGUAACAGGAUCACCCCUGGCUUCACCACAGUAGAUUGUAGGGGGAAGUAGGAGGCCUAACAGGAGGACACUGAAGGUGGAGAUGAUGGUUGGUUUUCCAAGAAGUGACAAUGGAGGUGGUGAGUAAUGAUCAGAUUGGAUAGAUAUUUAAGGUCGUGUAGCAGAUUGUAUUUUCCAAAGUCUGCAGCGCCACCAAAUACCCCACCCUCCCCUGUCUUCUUCUGAUGGAAUGUUGUUGCUUCUCCUUGAGAGGUGGUGUGUGUUUUCCUUCUCUGAACCCUGGCUCCUUCCCCUCCCAAUUCUCUGCACCUCUAUUGUUUUCCAGGUCACACUCACCCCAACCUGACACCUCCUUCUCCCCAGCCUCCAGGCCUUUAUUAAAGUUACCAGAACACAGAAAGGGCUUGCAGUGAGCAGCCUUCUCACAGACACAGGUGCAGGUGCCAGGCUUGGCUUCUAGGCUAGCGUACGACAACACAGGGAUGGGACGGGGAGAAAAGUCUUUCCUGAGACGCUGCAGAAAUCUGGAGAGGACUUAGCGUGAUCAGAGCUAUGGAACUGGGGUCAGUGGUGAUCUGGGAGGCUUGACUGCCAUCUGAGUUACAGGAAUUUGGAAGGAGUGCCAGAGUCGAUGAGGAAGGGCAUGGGAGCAUGGACUUAGAUGGUGGUAGCCCAGGCAGAAAUGUGGGGAAAGGCGUCUCCUCUUCAACAGUAUGGAUUAGACACACAGCAUCUAAAAUACCUUAUAAAGGAGCAUGGUGGCUCACGACUGUAAUCCCAGCAAGUUGGGAGGCAAAUAUGGGUGGAUCACCUGAGGUCAGGAGUUCAAGACCAGCCUGGCCAACAUGGCAAAACCCCGUCUCUAGUAAUAAUACAAAAAUUAGCUGGGUGUGGUGGCAUAUGCCUGUAAUCCCAGCUACUUGGGAGGCUGAGGCCAGAGAAUUGCUUGAACCUGGGAGGCGGAGCUUGCAGUGAGCUGAGAUCAUACCACUGCACUUCAGAUUGGGCAAUAGAGUGAGACUUCAUCUCAAAAAAACAAACAAACAAAAAACCUUAUAGAAUGUCUUGCCAUGUGGCAGGAGUGAUCUAAACUAUUCCAAAAUAUGAAUAUUGAGGUUUGCGUGUAUGUAUAUGUGUAAAUGUAAAUGAAGCUCUAGUCUGUUCUUUCAACCUUGCAAUAUAAUUGUCUUGGUCUGUUUGGGAUGCUAUAACAGAAUAUCUUUCCCUGGGUGGCUUAUAAACAACAGAGAUUUAUUUAUCACAGCUCUGGGAAGUCCAAGAUCAAGGUGGUGGCAGAUUUGGUGUCUGGAGAAAGCUCAUUUCUUGGUUCAUAGAUGGCAGUCUUCUCUCUGUGUCCUCAACAUGGCAGAAACAAGGGGUCUCUCUGAGACUUCUUUUUUAAAGGCACUCAUCCCAUUCAUAAAGGCUCUAAACUCAUGACUUAAUCGCGUCCCAAAGGCCCUAUCUCCUAAUACCAUCACUUGGGGAUUAAGUUUCAACAUAUGAAUUUGGGGGGGAACACAAAUGUUUGGUCUAUAGCCGUAAUUAUUUAGGUAUGUGCUUUAUUUCUCUAAGUAGAUUAUUAAUUCUUGAGCACAAGGCCCUUGCUGCUUUAUCUCUUUAUUCCUCCAGGUGCCAAAUCUGAUUCACAGAAGGCAUUCAAUAGUGUUGAAUGAAUUAAUGAGUUGAUUUGCAUGACGCAUGCAAGUUAGACAAACUACACUGCAUAUAUCUAGAACCUUAAAAGUAAUUCAGGCCAGGCGCGGUGGCUCAUGCCUGUAAUCCCAGCACUUUGGGAAGUGGAAGCAGGCGGAUCAUUUGAGAUCAGGAGUUCGAAACCAGCCUGGCCAACAUGGUGAAACCCCAUCUCUACUAAAAAUACAAAAAUUAGCUGGGCAUGGUGGUGGGCGCCUAUAAUCCCAGCUACUUGGGAGGCUAAGGCAGGAGAAUUGCUUGAGCCUGGGAGGCAGGGGUUGCAGUGAUCCAUUGUACUCCAGACUGGGUGACAGAGUGAGACUCCGUCUCAAAAAAAAAAAAAAAAAAAAAGCUAAUUCAGCCUGGAUCAAGUUUCCCUUUAUAAAGUCUCAGAACAGAUGUGGUUCUUGCCAAGAGAAUCAUGGGUUUGCAGCCCCACGGGCCUUUGCUUUAAAUGGAAUGACACAUGGAAGGCACCUUGCACAAGUCUGGCCCAGGAAUGUGAGGUUCCAGGGCCCUCUGUGUGAGCCGGCAGCUGGGUGAGUGCCUUGAUGCCCACCUGCCUCCCCCAGUCUCUCUCCACAAUAUGCCAGACAUCUCCCAUAUCAGGGAUGUCACCUAGCCUGGGACAAAAGAACCAGCUCUCCUCAGCUCUGGCUUCAGGAAGUGCCAGGUCAUUGAUCCUUGAAAAAAAUAGUCUUCAGAUGGGAAGAUGCUGACAUGAUGACAUAACCCCAAUGACAGCCUGUGAUUCUCCACACACUGCCUGGAAAAUGCAUUAGCCAAGUGUAUUAGUUUGCUAGGGCUGCCAUAAUAAAAAGUACCCCCUGCUGGGCAGCUUAAACGACAGAAAUUUAUUUCUCACAGUUCAGGGGGCCAGAAGUCCAAGAUCAACAUGCAGACAGAGUUGGUUUCUUCUCUGACUUCUCUCUUUGGCUUGCAGAUGGUCACAUUCUUGCUGUGUCAUCGAGUGGUCUUACCUGUGUGUACACAUUCCUGGUGCCUCAUGUGUCCAAAUUGCCUCCUCUUAUAAGGACACCAAUUGGAUUGGAUUGGGGCCCACUCUCAUGAUCUUAUUUUAUCCUAACCACUUUUUUUUUUUUUUUUUUUUUUUGAGACGGAGUCUUGUUCUGUCGCCCAGGCUGGAGUGCAGUGGUGUUAUCUCAGCUCACUGCAACCUCCGCCUCCCAGGUUCAAGCGAUUCUCCUGCAUCAGCCUCCUGAGUAGAUGGGAUUACAGGCAUGCGCCACCACUCCCGGAUAAUUUUCUUUGUAUUUUUAGUAGAGACGGGAUUUCACCAUAUUGGUCAGGCUGGUCUCGAACUCCUGACUUCAUGAUCCAUUUGCCUUGGCCUCCCAAAGUGCUGGGAUUACAGGUGUGAGCCACUGCGCCCGGCCUAUCCUAACCACUUCUUAAAGACCCAAUCUCCAGAUACAGUCAUACCUGAAGUACUAGAGGUUAGGGCUUCAACACAUGAAUUUGGAGAAGACACAUUUCAGCCCGUAACACCCAGCUUAACUGGUUUCAGCUGUGGAAGAAAGCACACAUCUCUGGGGUCAGAAGGACCUGAAUUUAAGUCCAUUUAUUUCCCAGCUAUAUGAUCAUGGGCAAGUUGUUAAACCUGUCUGAGUUUUUGCUUCCUCAUUUGCAAACUGGAGUUCCUGGGUUUGUGAGAAUCAAAGGAAUGGUCAUGUGGAAAGUUUCCCCCUUAGCCCACUAUGGGAAUGUUUGGACUCGAAUACACAUGGCAACUUGCUGAUGGAGCCCUGGGGAAGAGAGGGGAGGAGGGAGGAGUGCUCAUGGCUCCCUUUAGCCCUGCCCUAGCCUAAGGAGAAAGAAGGCCGCUAUGGAGCAGAUGCAUUAAGGACAUCUUCCCUACUCCUGUGCUGGUGGGGGGCGUCACUGUGCCAGGCACAGGAAAUGGAUCAGGUUUUAGGCUACCUAUUAUCAGGCACAUAGAGACAGCCAGUACCUCUCUUUAGGUAGAGACCUCCCUUGCUAUUUGAAUUGAAUGAGAAGUUUUGAUAUAGACACGGCUGGACUUUCUAACGCUUGAAAAUGAGAUAUCUGGUUAAUAGCUGAAACGAACAGCGAAAGCUAUGAUUCCUGCUUAAACUAUAACCCAAAAUCUGGGAAAGGGAGAUGUGAUAAAGCUCUUUUAAGAGCCCCAAACUUUCAAUAAACUAGUUAUCAGUACUUCUUAUUUCUUGUCUCAUUGGUAUCUUAUAUCCCUAAUCCUUCUUCAAAGCACCAAAAAUUCAGAUCU